rnacentral:rRNA from 1 species
ACUACAUGAAGCUGGAAUCGCUAGUAAUCGCAAAUCAGAAUGUUGCGGUGAAUACGUUCCCGGGUCUUGUACACACCGCCCGUCACACCAUGGGAGUCGGAAAUGCCCGAAGUCUGUGACCCAACGAAAGAGGGAGCAGCCGAAGGCAGGUCUGAUAACUGGGGUGAAGUCGUAACAAGGUAUC